AGGAAGGGCAUUUGGUGGAUGCCUUGGCAUGCACAGGCGAUGAAGGACGUGGCACGCUGCGAUAAGCUGUGGGAAGGUGUGAGCAACCGUUGAUCCGCAGAUUUCCGAAUGGGGAAACCCGACUCUUAGAGUCAUUUGUAUCUGAAUACAUAGGAUGCAGAAGCAAACCCGGGGAACUGAAACAUCUCAGUACCCGGAGGAAAGGACAUCAACCGAGACUCCGUUAGUAGUGGCGAGCGAACGCGGACCAGGCCAGUGGCAAUUGUGUAAGAACCGGAACCGUCUGGAAAGUCGGGCCAUAGCGGGUGAUAGCCCCGUACGGGUAGAAAGCAUUUUUGUCCUCGAGUAAGGCGGGGCACGUGAAACCCUGUCUGAACGUGGGGGGACCAUCCUCCAAGCCUAAGUACUCCUUAUCGACCGAUAGUGAAC
rnacentral:rRNA from 14 species